GUAGGGCGCAAGCGUUGUCCGGAAUUAUUGGGCGUAAAGAGCUCGUAGGCGGUCUGUCGCGUCGGAAGUGAAAACCCGGGGCUUAACCCCGGGCUUGCUUUCGAUACGGGCAGACUAGAGUGUGGUAGGGGAGACUGGAAUUCCUGGUGUAGCGGUGAAAUGCGCAGAUAUCAGGAGGAACACCGGUGGCGAAGGCGGGUCUCUGGGCCACUACUGACGCUGAGGAGCGAAAGCGUGGGGAGCGAACAGGAUUAGAUACCCUGGUAGUCCACGCCGUAAACGUUGGGCGCUAGGUGUGGGGGUCCUUCCACGACCUCCGUGCCGCAGCUAACGCAUUAAGCGCCCCGCCUGGGGAGUACGGCCGCAAGGCUAAA
rnacentral:rRNA from 1 species